AUACGGAGGAUGCGAGCGUUAUCCGGAUUUAUUGGGUUUAAAGGGUGCGUAGGCUGUGCGUUAAGUCAGGGGUGAAAUGCCGUCGCUCAACGACGGAGCUGCCCUUGAUACUGGCGUGCUGGAGUACGGAUGCCGUUGGAGGAAUGAGUGGUGUAGCGGUGAAUGCUUAGAUAUCACUCAGAACACCGAUUGCGAAGGCAACUGACGAAUCCGUCACUGACGCUGAGGCACGAAAGCGUGGGGAUAGAACAGGAUUAGAUACCCUGGUAUUCCACGCCGUAAACGAUGAUGACUAACCGUCGGCGAUAGACAGCCGGUGGCCAAGCGAAAGCGAUAAGUCAUCCACCUGGGGAGUACGUCGGCAACGAUGAAACUUAAAGGAAUUGACGGGG
rnacentral:rRNA from 1 species